rnacentral:rRNA from 1 species
UACGUAGGGUGCGAGCGUUAAUCGGAAUUACUGGGCGUAAAGCGUGCGCAGGCGGUUCGUUGUGUCGGUGGUGAAAGCCCCGGGCUUAACCUGGGAAUGGCCGUCGAAACUGGCGAACUGGAGUGUGGCAGAGGGGGGUGGAAUUCCCGGUGUAGCAGUGAAAUGCGUAGAGAUCGGGAGGAACAUCAGUUGCGAAGGCGGCUCUCUGGACCAGCACUGACACUGAGGCACGAAAGCGUGGGGAGCAAACAGG